GGCGGAAUUGGUAGACGCGCUAGCUUGAGGUGCUAGUGGCCGAUUAAGGCUGUGGAGGUUCAAGUCCUCUC
rnacentral:tRNA from 1 species